CCCGCUGAACUUAAGCAUAUCAAUAAGCGGAGGAAAAGAAACUAACAAGGAUUCCCCUAGUAACGGCGAGUGAAGCGGGAAGAGCUCAAAUUUGAAAUCUGGUGGCCUCAGGCUAUCCGAGUUGUAAUCUAUAGAAACAUUUUCCGCGUUGGCCCAUGUACAAGUCUCUUGGAAUAGAGCGUCAUAGAGGGUGAGAAUCCCGUCCUUGACAUGGACUACCAGUGCUUUGUGAUAUGUUUUCAACGAGUCGAGUUGUUUGGGAAUGCAGCUCAAAAUGGGUGGUAAAUUCCAUCUAAAGCUAAAUAUUGGCGAGAGACCGAUAGCGAACAAGUACCGUGAGGGAAAGAUGAAAAGCACUUUGGAAAGAGAGUUAAACAGUAUGUGAAAUUGUUGAAAGGGAAACGAUUGAAGUCAGUCGUGUCUAUUGGACUCAGCCGGUUCUGCCGGUGUACUUCCUUUAGAUGGGGUCAACAUCAGUUUUGACUGGCAGACAAAGGCCAGAGAAAUGUGGCAGCUUUUGCUGUGUUAUAGUCUCUGGUUGUAUGUGUCAGUUGGGAUUGAGGAAUCCGGUAUGCAAGUACCUGGGAUGUUGGCGUAAUGGCUUUAAACGACCCGUCUUGAAACACGG
rnacentral:rRNA from 1 species